rnacentral:rRNA from 1 species
GCAAGUCGAGCGGAGAGAGGUAGCUUGCUACUGAUCUUAGCGGCGGACGGGUGAGUAAUACUUAGGAAUCUGGCUAUUAGUGGGGGACAACAUUUCGAAAGGGAUGCUAAUACCGCAUACGUCCUACGGGAGAAAGCAGGGGAUCUUCGGACCUUGCGCUAAUAGAUGAGCCUAAGUCGGAUUAGCUAGUUGGUGGGGUAAAGGCCUACCAAGGCGACGAUCUGUAGCGGGUCUGAGAGGAUGAUCCGCCACACUGGGACUGAGACACGGCCCAGACUCCUACGGGAGGCAGCAGUGGGGAAUAUUGGACAAUGGGGGGAACCCUGAUCCAGCCAUGCCGCGUGUGUGAAGAAGGCCUUAUGGUUGUAAAGCACUUUAAGCGAGGAGGAGGGUACUGGUAUUAAUACUACCAGGUACUGGACGUUACUCGCAGAAUAAGCACCGGCUAACUCUGUGCCAGCAGCCGCGGUAAUACAGAGGGUGCGAGCGUUAAUCGGAUUUACUGGGCGUAAAGCGUGCGUAGGCGGCUAAUUGAGUCGGAUGUGAAAUCCCCGAGCUUAACUUGGGAAUUGCAUUCGAUACUGGUUAGCUAGAGUGUGGGAGAGGAUGGUAGAAUUCCAGGUGUAGCGGUGAAAUGCGUAGAGAUCUGGAGGAAUACCGAUGGCGAAGGCAGCCAUCUGGCCUAACACUGACGCUGAGGUACGAAAGCAUGGGGAGCAAACAGGAUUAGAUACCCUGGUAGUCCAUGCCGUAAACGAUGUCUACUAGCCGUUGGUCUCUUUGAGGGAUUAGUGGCGCAGCUAACGCGAUAAGUAGACCGCCUGGGGAGUACGGUCGCAAGACUAAAACUCAAAUGAAUUGACGGGGGCCCGCACAAGCGGUGGAGCAUGUGGUUUAAUUCGAUGCAACGCGAAGAACCUUACCUGGUCUUGACAUAGUAAGAACUUUCCAGAGAUGGAUUGGUGCCUUCGGGAACUUACAUACAGGUGCUGCAUGGCUGUCGUCAGC